GCUCCCAGCAGCCACGACGAGAAAUUGGCGGCGCGCGCCCUACUUAAGGCGAGGGAGGCAGAAAGAUAGAGAUGAAAUCCCAUACGAGGAAGGAUGGUCCUGUCAACUGGAACUCCAACUACAGCUAUCGAAUGGUUUUUCUGACCAACUUCAUCACUUGCUUAAGCUGCAUGAUCGUGCUGGCUGUGUAUUUUUACGUUGUCACUUCCGCCUUUGGCGAGUAUGGUCUAUCUUGGAAUUUCAUCUUCUCGAGUGCCCUCCCAUGUCCUCUUGUUACAGGGACGAUAUAUGGCAUGUACAUCAUGAGGGACAUUUACAUGCAGUACUUUGGCAUGAUGGGACCAGCCCCUCUGAAGGGGCGAUAAUUAUUUGGUA